rnacentral:rRNA from 1 species
AGAUGGACCUGCGUUGUAUUAGCUAGUUGGUGGGGUAACGGCUCACCAAGGCGACGAUACAUAGCCGACCUGAGAGGGUGAUCGGCCACACUGGGACUGAGACACGGCCCAGACUCCUACGGGAGGCAGCAGUAGGGAAUCUUCGGCAAUGGACGGAAGUCUGACCGAGCAACGCCGCGUGAGUGAAGAAGGUUUUCGGAUCGUAAAGCUCUGUUGUAAGAGAAGAACGAGUGUGAGAGUGGAAAGUUCACACUGUGACGGUAUCUUACCAGAAAGGGACGGCUAACUACGUGCCAGCAGCCGCGGUAAUACGUAGGUCCCGAGCGUUGUCCGGAUUUAUUGGGCGUAAAGCGAGCGCAGGCGGUUAGAUAAGUCUGAAGUUAAAGGCUGUGGCUUAACC